UACGUAGGGGGCGAGCGUUGUCCGGAUUUAUUGGGCGUAAAGCGCUCGUAGGUGGCUCGGUAAGUCGGGUGUGAAAUUUCGAGGCUCAAUCUCGAAACGCCACCUGAUACUGCUGUGGCUAGAGUCCGGUAGGGGAGCGUGGAAUUCCUGGUGUAGCGGUGAAAUGCGCAGAUAUCAGGAGGAACACCAGCGGCGAAGGCGGCGCUCUGGGCCGGUACUGACACUGAGGAGCGAAAGCGUGGGGAUCAAACAGG
rnacentral:rRNA from 1 species